UAAAUAAGGGAGCUUGGUCUUACGAAUCGAUAUAUGAAAAUAUACGAAAACAUUAGCUUAGAGCUUUUGGCUUGCAAACACUCUUAACUCACGUUGAUUUUCAGCCCACACACAACUCACACACACUAACACCUAAAACACACACACCAUUCACGCAUAUACCAUUUUUAGCUUGAGCUCAAGCUUUUGAGCUCCGAUUUGAGCACCGAGACGAGCGCCGAUCAUCUUUUCGAUCACGUAUCUAAGUAGGUCCUUUUGGGAAGUAACGACUUGAGGGAGAGAGUGACGUUACUCAUUGAUACAGAGACACAACGAGGUUGAGCUGAUGUGAUGAUGGUGCUGCAAUGAGCGGAGUCUCCAGGGUUGUUAAUAAAUAGUUAACCUGUCUAGAAUAUGUCUUCAUACAUAUGUCUAGCUACUUUCCGCUGCAAGAUGUUGUUGAUGUUAUAGUAUGUUAUGUCAUACUUUGAGUCUUAAGAGAAUGGUUUCAUACGAUGUAUAACUUGAUUAAUGAUAUUAAUUAAGUUUUAUGCUGUCUUUCAUAGACUGUUUUCAAUUGAGUAUUAAUGAAUAAAAAAUACGAGUUUUAUUAAGAUGAGUAAGUUUUACGGCUAUAAAUGACGCCCCUUUUCUUCCCCUUCU